rnacentral:lncRNA from 1 species
CUGUCUUUUCUUCAUACUGUCAAGUUUAAUCUGACUUAGAAAAUUAUCAAUAAGUUUUGGGAAUGAUGGUUCAUGGAGAUGAUUCUUAACUCCAUUCCCUCCUUGUGGUCUCUCUUCUUAGGUGAAAUUGAAGGCCAGCUUUUGGAACUCAACCUUCAAAGGAACUUAAAAUUUCCAUUAUGUAGAGUCCCUGAGGAAACUGGAUCCACUAGCUACACUGGCUGAGAAUGCUCUCACCCCAGGAUUUCAUUUUUAUUUUACCACAUCAUUGUUGGUAUCUUAAGAUCAAUGUACUGGAGCAGCGGGGUCUCACAAAGAGGAUACCUGGUGACACGCCCAGGCUUUCAGAAUGCACUAUAGGGCUUUAGUGACUUGUCCAGGUUCAGCUGAAAUGUGCCAUCUGGGACCUACUAAUGCUUGUUGAACUUUACUGGAUCUCAGAAGCUGGGUCUCAGAAGCUCAGAUGUUCCUCAGAGCUACGAUAUCAACAACCUGUGAUGACAGAGAGAAGGUUGCUCCAUGAUGGAUUUGGAAACUUACUGGCUAGCUAAACCUGACUGAAUGGGAAGGAAUGUGGAUAGCUUUGGAACUCUAGUUUCACUAGAUGAGCUGGAAUUUGUAUUUUGACAAAUUGCACGUUAUGAUUAUUAAGUAAUGCAACUGAUUUUUUUUUCCCUUAAAACAAACAAUCUAGAAUCUGUGUAAUCAAAAUAAUUUCUCUAAAAGGCUGCAAGUAUAUGCUUAAAGUGUUGGGGCAUUCAGAGCAUUUGGAACAUUACAUUCUUUUGAAUGUCAAUUGGUAGAUGAAAAUACCAGCUUUUAAGUCAUACAUUUGAUUUUUUGAAACAAUAUGCAUUUAGAGUUUGUAAGUCAAGUGAAUAACUGAUAAGGUAAAAAAAAGGGGGAGUUCAUUGUUGAGUAUGAAUUUAAAGUAACCAGACUGCCUUUUGUCCAGUGGCUGUCAGUAAUUUACUUCAGCAGGCAUUUUUUUUUUUUUGAGGCUGUUCUAUGAUAUCAUGACCCUUCUUGUAGGAAUGUGCUUCCAGUGGUGAGGCAGUCUGAGAAUGUGUGAAGCAGUAUAAUGAAGCCAGACCAAGAUGGAAGCUUGGCCUGGGAUUUGAGCAUCAGGAAAACUGUUGAAGGGUUAUGUAUACAUCACACACACACACACACACACACACACACACACACACACACACACACUCUCUUCCAUACUCCUAUAACAACGUAUAGUAUUUACUAUACCUGGUGACAGGUAUUUACUAUACAUUGUUGAAGAUCUAUAACAUGGAAUGCCUAGUGCUAAGUGCAGUGUCCUUAGUGAAAUUGUAUUGGUUUGGAAUUAUUUAUGAGUUUGGGAUUAUUUGUCACUACCCUUAAAUGAUCUUGACACUCACCUAUUUGAAAAGAUAUUGAGGAUUUGCCAUUUGAUAUUGACCAGGGUGUAUUGUGCACAAAUAUUGUGAAUAUACAUCUGUCUGUCCUUAAAUCACUGUAAGUUUUAACUGGAAUAGAUUUGCUCCACAUUACUCGGUAGGGCUGAUAUUUCAUGCCUCAUGGAUGAGAAAAGAAUAGGCAAAAAUUAUAUCUCGGGCUGCCUCACACAUCUUUUAACAGGAUAAGGGAAAAAUAAAUAUAAGACCUAUGAGUUAUGGCAUCAGGCUUGAACUUUAAUUUAUGAAUUAAACCAACAAUAUUAUUGAUUAUUGCAAUUAUCUAUCUUAAUUUCAUUUGUUCUCCUUUUAAAAAUUAAUUAUGUUUAUUUUACCUAUUGUGAAUAAAGUCACUCCUCCCAUGUGCUUAUUUCUUGACUCUGGCACUAAUUAUUCUUCAGUGCCUAGAUUUCCUGGGACUGCUCAGUUUAAGUAACUUCUGAACAUUGGUCUCUGAGAGAAAAGACAGUGAAGUGGGAUCUGUGGAAAAACACAUCUGCAAAUGUCUCAUUUUUUUCUUCAGGGGUAAGUUUUCUUCCUUGGAGACUCUUGUCUUGAAAAAGUGAUACUAGAUCACCAUUUGGCAAGAUAAUUACAAAAGGCAGAUAGAGUAAUUAUUUUACAUAGCUGUUAUAGGGUGACUAAGAUCUCAGGGAAUGACUGUGUUCUGUAAUCC